AUUGAACGCUGGCGGCAUGCCUUACACAUGUAAGUCGAACGGCAGCGGACCUUCGGGUGCCGGCGAGUGGCGAACGGGUGAGUAAUAUAUCGGAACGUACCUUUCAGUGGGGGAUAACGUAGCGAAAGUUACGCUAAUACCGCAUAUUCUGUGAGCAGGAAAGCAGGGGAUCGCAAGACCUUGCGCUGAUUGAGCGGCCGAUAUCAGAUUAGCUAGUUGGUGAGGUAAAGGCUCACCAAGGCGACGAUCUGUAGCGGGUCUGAGAGGAUGAUCCGCCACACUGGGACUGAGACACGGCCCAGACUCCUACGGGAGGCAGCAGUAGGGAAUAUUGGACAAUGGGGGGAACCCUGAUCCAGCCAUGCCGCGUGAGGGAAGAAGGUCCUCUGGAUUGUAAACCUCUUUUGGCAGGAAACAAACCUGCGCUAUACGCGCAGCUGAGGGUACCUGCAGAAUAAGCACCGGCUAACUCCGUGCCAG
rnacentral:rRNA from 1 species